rnacentral:rRNA from 1 species
UACGUAGGGUGCGAGCGUUGUCCGGAAUUACUGGGCGUAAAGAGCUCGUAGGCGGCUUGUCGCGUCGUCCGUGAAAACCCACAGCUCAACUGUGGGCUUGCGGUCGAUACGGGCAGGCUAGAGUUCGGUAGGGGAGACUGGAAUUCCUGGUGUAGCGGUGAAAUGCGCAGGUAUCAGGAGGAACACCGGUGGCGAAGGCGGGUCUCUGGGCCGAUACUGACGCUGAGGAGCGAAAGCGUGGGGAGCGAACAGG